rnacentral:lncRNA from 1 species
CCCAGAUCUCACUUUGUAUAUGGUAAGACUUCUGCAGACUUUUAGUCCAUUUUUCCCGAGGAAACGGAGCUCGGAAGUAACUGCACAUUUUUUGUGUGUUUCUCUGCCACCUCUGUAACUUUCAGAUGUGUUGAGCAAAUUUGUCAGAGAAAUAGAGUUCAUGUUUCUGCUGUUUCCUGCCAACAGGGGCUGAGUAGGGGAGCAAAUCCCUCGAAAUGCCCCUGGUGAAACUCGCAGCAUCAAACACUUCAUCAGCCGUCAGAGCCGCAGCAUGGGCUGGCUGGGGGGAGACGGAGGAGACUCGACGGGAUGAAAGCUCUCAGCACGAGCUCCCAGCCACCCACGAGACACCAACCUGUGGGGAACCGGCAGCUCCGAGUCUGAUACUCAUGCACGUGGAUUUCCUUUGACCACUGGAGUGUACAUCUGCUCAGAUGUUCUGGAGCUGCACCAUGAAAGCUCAGGUUUUAGGCCAUAUCUCAGGUGUGGUCCUAACUGCUCAGCCAUCCCUACAGCACAGGAGGUGAUCACUCUUGUUUUACA